AACAUAAGUUAUACAGAUUAAAAAAUAUGCUAAAAUACUAAUUAUAAGUUGAAAAUGAAAAAGAAAAAAAGAAAAUAGAAUAAUUACAAGAAAAUGAAAAAGAAAAAAAGAAAAUAGAAUAAUUACAAGAAAAUGAAAAUGAGACUGUAUGUAUUAAAGGAAACCAACUCAAUCAUUUGUUAGGAUUAUUGUGAGAUCCUCAUAAUCCUAACAAACAUCUCAAUCUCAUCAAAACAAUACGAAAACCCUAUCAUAAUCAUUGGUGACGCAAGAAUAAAAUUGAAAAUAAGAGGAAACACAGAUGAAUAGGGUGACAAUAUAAGAAAGGUAGAGAUGUGUAACCUUCAAAAGAUCAACCUAUAUCAGAAAUCACUUGAUUUGUACAUUUGAUAGAUAACAAUGAAAAUUACUCAUAAAAGAUAGAAGAAAAAAAAGAUGACAAUUUUUCAGCAGUACGUAUUUUUUUUACCCUUUGUAUUUUGUUUAUACAAUCAUAAAAUGAAUAUGAACCAGAGAUUUCUAUUAAAUAAUGUAAGCUAAAUAUUUUCAUUAAGUAAAUCCCCAAUUAUAUAAAUCAAUCAAACAUGUAAUGAGUAAAAAACAUUGACAUUAAAUAGUUUAGAAAGAUAUGUAUUGAACAUCAAAAUUAAUUAAAUAUAUACUUAUAUCCUUAAGAACAUAAAAAAUCCCCAAUUAUAUAAAUCAAUCAAACAUGUAAUGAGUAAAAAACAUUGACAUUAAAUAGUUUAGAAAGAUAUGUAUUGAACAUCAAAAUUAAUUAAAUAUAUACUUAUAUCCUUAAGAACAUAAAUUGUCAUCUUCUAUAUUCUGAUAAUUAAAAAAUUCACAUAAGUUAUACAGAUUAAAAAAUAUUCUAAAAUACUAAUUAUAAGUAAAAAAUGAAAAAGAAAAAAAAAAAUAGAAUAAUUACAAGAAAAUGACAAAGAAAAAAAGAAAAUAGAAUAAUAACAACAAAUUUAAAAUGCGACUGUAUUGUAUAAAGGAAACCAACUCAAUCAGUUUUCCAGUGUUACACUAGCACCACCUUUAUUAUUGUGAGAUCCUCAUAAUCCUAACAAGCAUCUCAUUCUUAUCAAAACAAUACGAAAAACCCUAUCAUAAUCAUUGGUGAUGCAAGAAUAAAAUUGAAAAUAAGAGGAAACACAAAUGAAUAGAGUGACAAAAUAAACAAGUUAGAGAUCUGUAACCUUCAAAAGAUCAACCUAUAUCAGAAAUCACUUGAUAUGUACAUUUGAUAGAUGAGAAAGAAAAUUACUCAUAAAAGAUGGAAAAAAAGGAAAAUAUGACAAUUUUUUAGCAUUACGUUUUUUUUACCCUUUGUAUUUGUUUUAUACAAUCAUAAAAUGAAUCAUUUUUCCAGUGUUACAUUAGCACCACCUGUAUUAUUGUGAGAUCCUCAUAAUCCUAACAAACAUCUCAAUAGGGUGACAAAACAAUAUGAAAACCCUAUCAUAAUCAUUGGUGACGCAAGAAUAAAAUUGAAAAUAAGAGGAAACACAGAUGAAUAGGGUGACAAAAUAAAAAAGGUAGAGAUGUGUAACCUUCAAAAGAUCAACCUAUAUCAGAAAUCACUUGAUCUGUACAUUUGAUAGAUAAGAAAGAAAAUUACUCAUAAAAGAUAGAAAAAAAAGGAAAAUAUGACAAUUUUUCAGCAGUACGUAUUUUUUUACCCUUUGUAUUUUGUUUAUACAAUCAUAAAGUGAUUAUGAACCAGAGAUUUCUAUUAAAUAUUGUAAGCUAAAUAUUUAUAUUAAGUAAAUCCUCAAUUAUAUAAAUCAAUCAAACAUUUAUUGAGUAACAAACCUUGACAUUAACUAGUUUAGAAAGAUAUGUAUUGAACAUCAAAAUUAAUUAAAUAUAUACUUAUAUCCUAAAGAACAUAAAAUGUCAUCUUCUAUAUUCUGAUAAUUAAACAAUUAACAUAAGUUAUAUAGAUUAAAAAAUAUGCUAAAAUACUAAUUAUAAGUAGAAAAUGAAAAAGAAAAAAAGAAAAAAGAAUAAUUACAAGAAAAUGAAAAAGAAAAAAUGAAAAUAGAAUAAUUACAAGAAAAUGAAAAUGUGACCGUAUGUUAUAAAGGAAACCAACUCAAUCAUUUUUCCAGUGUUACAUUAGCACCAUCUUUAUUAUUUUGAGAUCCUUAUAAUCCUAACAACCAUCUCAAUCUCAUCAAAAUAAUACGAAAACCCUAUCAUAAUCAUUGGUGACGCAAGAAUAAAAUUGAAAAUAAGAAGAAACACAGAUGAAUAGAGUGACAAAAUGAGAGAGUUAGAGAUGUGUAACCAUCAAAAGAUCAACCUAUAUCAGAAAUCACUUGAUCUGUACAUUUGAUAGAUAAGAAUGAAAAUUACUCAUAAAAGAUAGAAAAAAAAAGAUGACAUAUAUAUAAAUCAUAAAAUGAAUAUGAACCAGAGAUUUCUUUUAAAUAAAGUAAGCUAAAUAUUUUCAUUAAGUACAUCCCCAAUUAUAUAAAUCAAUCAAACAUGUAAUGAGUAAAAAACAUUGACAUUAAAUAAUUUAGAAAGAUAUGUAUUGAACAUGAAAAUUAAUUAAAUAUAUACUUGUAUGCUUAAGAACAUAAAAUGUCAUCUUCUAUAUUCUGAUAAUUAAACAAUUAACAUAAGUUAUACAGAUUAAAAAAUAUGCUAAAAUACUAAUUAUAAGUAGAAAAUGAGAAAGAAAAAAAGAAAAUAGAAUAAUAACAACAAAUUUAAAAUGAGAUCGUAUGGUAUAAGGGUAACCAAUUCAAUCAGUUUUCCAGUGUUACACUAGCACCACCUUUAUUAUUGUAAGAUCCUCAUAAUCCUAACAAACAUCUCAAUCUCAUCAAAACAAUACGAAAAACCCUAUCAUAAUCAUUGGUGAUGCAAGAAUAAAAUUUAAAAUAACAGGAAACACAAAUGAAUAGAGUGACCAAAUAAACAAGUUAGAGAUAUGUAACCUUCAAAAGAUAAACCUAUAUCAAAAAUUACUUGAUCUGUACAUUUGAUAGAUAAGAAAGAAAAUUACUCAUAAAAGAUAGAAAAAAAAAGGAAAAUAUGAAAAAAUUUCUGUUGUACGUUUUAUUUACCCUUUGUAUUUGUUUUAUACAAUCAUAAAGUGAUUAUAAAUCAGAGAUUUCUAUUAAAUAAUGUAAGCUAAAUAUUUUUAUUAAGUACAUCCUCAAUUAUAUAAAUCAAUCAAACAUGUAAUGAGUAACAAACUUUGAGAUUAAAUAGUUUAGAAAGAUAUGUAUUGAACAUCAAAAUUAAUUAAAUAUAUACUUGUAUCCUUAAGAACAUAAAAUGUCAUCUUCUAUAUUCUGAUAAUUAAAGAAUUAACAUAAGUUAUACAGAUUAAAAAAUAUGCUAAAAUAGUAAUUAUAAGUGGAAAAUGAAAAAGAAAAAAAGAAAAUAGAAUAAUUACAAGAAAAUGAAAAAGAAAAAAAGAAAAAAGAAUAAUUACAAGAAAAUGAAAAUGAGACGGUAUGUAAUAAAGGAAACCAACUCAAUCAUUUUUCCAGUGUUACAUUAGCCGUCCCUUUAUUAUUGUGAGAUCCUCAUAAUCAUAACAGACAUCUCAAUCUCAUCAAAACAAUAAGAAAAACUGUAUCAUAAUCAUUGGUGACGCAAGAAUAAAAUUGAAAUAAGAGGAAACACAAAUGAGUAGAGUGACAAAAUAAACAACUUAGAGAUGUGUAACCUUCGAAUGAUCAACCUAUUUCAGAUAUCACUUAAUCUGUACAUUUGAUAUAUAAGAAAGAAAAUUACUUAUAAAAGAUAGAAAAAAUGGAAAAUAUGACAAUUUUUCAGCAGUACGUAUUUUUUUACCCUUUGUAUUUUGUUUAUACAAUCAUAAAGUGAUUAUGAACCAGAGAUUUCUAUUAAAUAAUGUAAUCUAACUAUUUUUAUUAAGUAUAUGCUCAAUUUUAUAAAUCUAUCGAACAUGUAAAGAGUAACAAACAUUCAUUAAAUAGUUUAGAAACAUAAUUAUUGAACAUCAAAAUUAAUUAAAUAUAUACAUAUAUCCUUAAGAACAUAAAACGUCAUCUUCUAUAUUCUUAUAAUUAAACAAUUAACAUAAGUUAUAAAGAUAAACAAAAAUGCUAAUAUACUAAUUAUAAGUAGAAAUGAAAAAGAAAAAAAAGAAAAAAGAAUAAUUACAAGAAAAUGAAAAAGAAAAUAAGAAAAUAGAAUAAUUACAAGAAAAUGAAAAUAAGACCGUAUAAAGGAAACAUACUCAAACAUUUUUCCAGUGUUACACUAGCAUCAGCUUUGUUAUUGUGAGAUCCUCAUAAUCCUAACAAACAUCUCAAUCUCAUCAAAAAGUACGAAACACCCUAUCAUAAUCAUUGGUGACGCAAGAAUAAAAUUAAAAAUAAGAGGAAACACA
rnacentral:lncRNA from 1 species